CACGCCGUAAACGAUGAUUACUAACUGUUUGCGAUAUAAUGUAAGUGGUACAGAGAAAUCGUUAAGUAAUCCACCUGGGGAGUACGCCGGCAACGGUGAAACUCAAAGGAAUUGACGGGGGCCCGCACAAGCGGAGGAACAUGUGGUUUAAUUCGAUGAUACGCGAGGAACCUUACCCGGGCUUGAAAUGCAGAGGAAUAUAGUGGAAACAUUAUCGCCAGCAAUGGUCUCUGUGUAGGUGC
rnacentral:rRNA from 2 species